UCCGUAGGUGAACCUGCGGAAGGAUCAUUACCGAGUUGAUUCGGGCUCCGGCCCGAUCCUCCCACCCUUUGUGUACCUACCUCUGUUGCUUUGGCGGGCCGCGGUCCUCCGCGGCCGCCCCCCUCCCCGGGGGGGUGGCCAGCGCCCGCCAGAGGACCAUCAAACUCCAGUCAGUAAACGAUGCAGUCUGAAAAACAUUUAAUAAACUAAAACUUUCAACAACGGAUCUCUUGGUUCGGGCAUCGAUGAAGAACGCAGCGAAAUGCGAUAAGUAAUGUGAAUUGCAGAAUUCAGUGAAUCAUCGAAUCUUUGAACGCACAUUGCGCCCUUUGGUAUUCCGAAGGGCAUGCCUGUUCGAGCGUCAUUACAACCCUCAAGCUCUGCUUGGUAUUGGGCACCGUCCUUUGCGGGCGCGCCUCAAAGACCUCGGCGGUGGCGUCUUGCCUCAAGCGUAGUAGAACAUACAUCUCGCUUCGGAGCGCAGGGCGUCGCCCGCCGGACGAACCUUCUGAACUUUUCUCAAGGUUGACCUCGGAUCAGGUAGGGAUACCCGCUGAACUUAAGCAUAUCAAUAAGCGGAGGA
rnacentral:rRNA from 1 species